GAAGUUGGGGCACUGGAUGUUCUUGGUGUUUUGUGGGUUCUGCUUGUUUAUGGGUGUGCUCAAGUUUUGUGCAUAUGGAUGGUUUGGAUCUGCUAUUGAAAGAGUUGCGUACAGUCAGGAUUCAUAUGACUCACUGGUCAGUCUAAGGGAUCAGAGCACUCAUACCUAUAGACAUAUGGAUGGAGAUACCAAACAUAGUGGAGAACGGAAUCAUUUGGAACAGACUCUAAGUAUGGUUGCAUCGGGUGUUGUUGGUAACCAGAAUAACAUGCUAGAUUAUUCAGAAAUAUGGUUGCAUCCUAAUAGUGAAAAUUUCACUCAGUGCAUUGAGCGGACAAAGAGUCAGAAACUUGUAGAUGCAAAGACAAAUGGUUACCUUCUGAUAAAUGCAAAUGG
rnacentral:misc_RNA from 1 species